GCAGCUGACAAAAUGAACAAAUCUUUAAUUAAAGGAGAAGAGAUCCACCGAGUGAAGCACUCCUUCAAGGGAUCUCGCCUUUUGAGUCGAGAUUCCUUAAACAGACCAGGACAAUGAAGAGAGUAUAAGAAGGCGUGUGAAUUGGAUAGUCAAGGAACGGGAAGGAUGAAUGGAUGCAGAUCCAUAAAUCUGAUUACUCCGUAGGAGAGAUCCAUCCAAAUGAGCAUCAUUGAAAUGUAUUUCUAUCCAGUUCCAUCUCUUCUCUCACCUCCCUCUUCUGCUGACUACUGAAUAAUUGAAUUUAAUGUCCAACAUACUAGGGUCUAUAUGUUUUUGAGGUCCAUAUUUCCUACAUUUAUUCGACAACGACGGAGUAAUUUGAAUUUUAUGAUAGAAAUUUGCUUCUUCAUUUUCUCCGCUUUUUCAAUUCUAUGGUAAGUUUUUUUGACAAACAAUAUCCCAUAGAUAGUUUAUGUCAGCUUCAUGAAAUUUCGUUAAAUGAUAACUGAAAUAUUUAAGGAUUUGAGACAAUAAAAAUACUUUAAAGAUGA
rnacentral:lncRNA from 1 species